AUUGAACGCUGGCGGCAGGCCUAACACAUGCAAGUCGAGCGGAGCGGCGGACGGGUGAGUAAUGCCUAGGAAUCUGCCUGGGAGUGGGGGAUAACGUCCGGAAACGGACGCUAAUACCGCAUCCUCUCAGAUGAGCCUGGGUCGGAGUAGAUAGGUGGUGGGGUAAAGGCCUACCAAGGCGACGAUCCGUAACUGUUCUGAGAGGAUGAUCAGUCAAACCGGAACUGAGACACGGUCCAGACUCCUACGGGAGGCAGCAGUGGGUAAUAUUGGACAAUGGGGGAAAGCCUGAGCCAGCCAUGCCGCGUGUGUGAAGAAGGUCUUCGGAUUGUAAAGCACUUUAAGUUGGGAGGCGUUACCAACAGAAUAAGCACCGGCUAACUCCGUGCCAGCAGCCGCGGUAAUAC
rnacentral:rRNA from 1 species